rnacentral:rRNA from 1 species
AUCCCCGGGCUCAACCUGGGAACUGCAUUCGAAACUGGCAGGCUUGAGUCUUGUAGAGGGGGGUAGAAUUCCAGGUGUAGCGGUGAAAUGCGUAGAGAUCUGGAGGAAUACCGGUGGCGAAGGCGGCCCCCUGGACAAAGACUGACGCUCAGGUGCGAAAGCGUGGGGAGCAAACAGGAUUAGAUACCCUGGUAGUCCACGCCGUAAACGAUGUCUACUUGGAGGUUGUGCCCUUGAGGCGUGGCUUCCGGAGCUAACGCGUUAAGUAGACCGCCUGGGGAGUACGGCCGCAAGGUUAAAACUCAAAUGAAUUGACGGGGGCCCGCACAAGCGGUGGAGCAUGUGGUUUAAUUCGAUGCAACGCGAAGAACCUUACC